GGUCACUAAGUUUUCCAGAGCUUAAUCUUAUUGGGUUAUUUUAAAGCUGCUUGGUAAGCUGGAACUUCAGGUGGGCAUCAUAAACUCAAGUCCAUACUUAAAAUGUCCAGGAGUUCCUGCUGUGGCUCAGUGGUAAUGACCCAACUAGUAUCCAUGAAGAUGCGGGUUCUAUCCCUGGCCUCACUCACGGGGUUAAGGAUCCAGUGACAUUGCUAUGAGCUGAGGUGUAGGUCGCAGGCGCAGUGUAGGUCACAGACAUGGCUCGGAUCUGGCAUUGCUGUGGCUGUGGUGUAGGCUGGUAGCUGCAGUUCCAAUUCAACCCCCAGUCUGGGAACUUCCAUAUGGCGAGGGUGCAGCCCUAAAAAGCAAGCAAACAAACAAGAAUGUCCAGACUCUGGGUGUGAACAGGGUUAUCACACUGUAAAAUGCCUAUCCUAGGCUGCAACUCAGAAAAACAAAAGCUGCUUUUCAAAAAGUUGUUUUUCUCAUCACAAGGGGCAAGAAGAUGAAACUGUUAGCUAUACGAGAAGGUCUGCCUGACCAGACCUGCAAGUUUGACAGCAAGUGGAUGCAGCCACAGCCAACUGGGGGUGGGGUGGUCAGGGCAUGGCCAGAGGCAUAAACACUACCUUCCAACCCUCUCAGCUCAACCUGCAAAAGCCAGAGGGCAAGGGAGCCGGAGCUGAUUGAGGCAGCCUGCAGAGGUCAGCUUCCCAAACAGAGCAGAGCAAGGUUGGACCCAAAGAAGGUACAGAGGCUAUCUCACACAGGUAGCAGGCUGACACAUUUAUUUAAACAGUUCUGUGGGAGUUCCUGUUGUGGCUUAGUAGGCCAAGAACCUAACUAGUAUCAGUGAGGAUGAGGGUUCGAUUCCUGGCCUCACUCAGUGGGUUAAAGAUCUGGCGUUGCUAAGAGCUGUGGUGUAGGUUGCAGACUUGGCUCAGAUUCUGAGUUGCUGUGGCUGUGGCCAAGGUCCAGCUGCAGCUCUGAUUCAACCCUAGCCUGGAAACUUCCAUAUUCUAUAGGUGUGGGAAAAAAAAAAAUGGAGUUCCCUUCGUGGCGCAGUGGUUAACGAAUCCGACUAGGAACCAUGAGGUUGCAGGGAUCGAACCCGAAACCUCAUGGUUCUUAGAUUUGUUAACCACUGAGCCACGACGGGAACUCCUGCUCUCUUGUUUCUUUAACUGUAAAUAUUCCAGCUAAUUUGACUGAGGCAUGAUUAAUGAUCCUUUAAACUUUCAGGUGUUAUUCAUUCCCUUGAAUCUUUGAAGUUGGCUCUUGGCAAAACUGUAAAUGAAAGGUUUGUUUUCUAGGCCCAUCUGCAUGCUUUUUAGAUCUUUUUGGUUCCCUGCUAGCAAUAGCAACUUUAGCCCCAGAGUUCUCUCACCAUGGGAGCAAUGGGCUCGCCAAUCCCAACCUGCUCUCUAAGCCUGUGCCUGCAUUCAAUGGGCAAUUAAAACUCAAUUAUACAGUUCUACUGUUUUCCUCAACAUAAAAGCAAUACAUGCUCAUGUUGUCCAACUUGAGAAUACAGAAAAGCAAAAGAAAAUAAAAAUCUGUUAUAAUCUUGUUAUUCAAAAUCAGAUGCCACUGUUCCUUGUUCCUCUCAAAAGUGUUGUUGGCACUUUUAACGCCACUCAUCUGUGCAUAGUCCCUUUCCUCCCCGACCCUGCUCUGCCUUCCAAGUUCACUCUGUGAGGCAGAGGUAAUGACUGAAUAAGUAAACACUUGAAAGUAUAUUACCUUGAGACCUUAGGCACCUGUUGAGGAAAAAAUACAUAAAUAGUACAUAAUAAAACCAAUUGGGACAUCUGAGGUUGGCUAGUUUACAGUGGAAUUCAUUGGCUCAUAGGACCUGAAUGUAUAGAGGUAGGAUGGGCUGCAGGUGUGGUUUGAUCUAGAGAUUGAAAGAGUCAAAAAGGAAAUGGUUUCUUUCUAACCCCUCUCUCUGCUUUCUCCACAAUGUUCAUCUCUUCCUAAGGUAAGUGCUUCUUGCAGUCAAAAUGGCAGCCUUAUCAGCAGUUUCUAGCACUACUUACUGCCUGGCUCCUGUCUAACAGGAUAUGAGAGCAUCUGUCUGUGACCCAUAAAUUCCUGGGAUCCCUUUUGAUUGGAUCAGCCUGGUUCCUAUGACCACCCCUGAACCAACCCUAGUGGCAAGGAAGAUGAGACAAUUAUGCAUAGUUGAGACUAGUAGGCCUCAAACUCUAGUCUCAGGACUGCUCAUAAAAAUUAAUGAGGAGCCCACAGAAUCUUUUUGAUGGAGAUUUUUAUCUAUUGAUACUUGCCAAAUUAGAAAUUAAAUUCAGGAAUUCCCAUCGUGGCGCAGCGAAAACGAAUCUGACUAGGAACUAUGAGGUUGCAGGUUUGAUCCCUGGCCUCAUUCAGUGGGUUAAGGAUCUGGUAUUGCUGCGAGCUGUGGUGUAGGCUGGCAGCUGUAGCUCCAAUUCAACCCCUAGCCUGGGAACCUCCAUAUGCCGAAAGUGCGGCCCUAAGAAAAAAAAAAGCAAAAACAAAAGAAACCUCCCAACAGACAAAAGUCCAGGAACAGACAGCUUCAUGAGUGAAUUCCACCAAACAUUUCGAGAAAGGUUAACCCUACCUUUCUCAAACUAUUCCAGAAAACAGCAGAGGAAGGAACAUGUCUGAAUACAUUCUGUGAGGCCAGUAUCACCCACCCUGAUACUAAGACCAGAUAAAGAUAGCACCCAAAAAAGAAAAUUACAGACUAACAUCACUGAUGCAAAAAUCAACAAAAUAUUAGCAAACAAAAUUCAAAUCCUACAUUAAUCCCACAUUAAAACGAUCAUACAUUAUGACUAAAUGGGACUUAUCCCAAGGAUGCAAGGAUGGUUCAGUAUCCACAAAUCAACCAAAGUGACACAGAUUAACAAACUAAAGACUGAAAUAGGAGCAUCUCAAUAGAUACAGAAUAAACUUUUGACAAAAGUCAACAUCCAUUUUUGAUGAAAAACUCUCAAUACAGGGGACCAUGCUGCAACAUAUAAAGACCAUGUAUGACAGGCCCGCAGCCAGUAUCAUACUUAAUGGCAAAAGCUGAAAGCAUUUUCUCUAAGAAGGAAGCAUUUUCUCACAGGAAGAAGACAACGAUGCCCACUCUUACCACUUUUAUUCAGCAUAGUGUUGGAAAUCAUAGCCACAGCAAUCAGACAAGAAGAAAUGAAAGAAAUCCCAAUUAGAAAAGAAGUAAAACUGUCACUGUUUUUAGAUGACAUGAUACUAUACAUAGAAAAUCCUAAAGAUGUUACCAAAAAAAAAAAAAAA
rnacentral:lncRNA from 1 species